rnacentral:rRNA from 1 species
GACGGAGGAUGCAAGCGUUAUCCGGAAUUAUUGGGCGUAAAGCGUCCGCAGGUGGACAUACAAGUCUGCUGUCAAAGUGCAGAGCUUAACUCUGUAAAGGCGGUGGAAACUGUAGGUCUUGAGUAUGGUAGGGGUAGAGGGAAUUCCCGGUGUAGCGGUGAAAUGCGUAGAUAUCGGGAAGAACACCAGUGGCGAAGGCGGUUGCCUGGGGCUUUGCUGACGCUGAUGCGCGAAAGCGUGGGGAGCGAUCCGG